GGCCAAGUAGCUCAGUUGGUAGAGCAGCGGACUGAAAAUCCGCGUGUCGGUGGUUCGAUUCCGCCCUUGGCCA
rnacentral:tRNA from 1 species